rnacentral:lncRNA from 1 species
UAAGUCUUCCACUAUCCCUUGUGGGAAGCAGAGAGUUCUAUUUGCAAGCGGAGAGUCCUAUUAUUAUUAUUCUUGUUGUUGUUGUUGUUGUUGUUGUUGUUGUUGUUGUUGUAUUAUGAAAGAAAACUGAACAACAUUGAAAAAUAGUAAUUUUGUACCCAUCGUCAUCAUUUAUUUGCCGAGUAAAAUCAAGUAAUACCCAG